GCCCAUCAUAGUGUAAUGGUAACACGCCCUGACAAUGUUGGACUGGCGCCUUCGCCACCUUGUGGAAAGGCUAUUAAGAUCGAUGGGAACGUGCAGGGAGCUCUUGGUUCGAAUCCAAGGAUGGGCU